UACGGGGGGGGCUAGCGUUGUUCGGAAUUACUGGGCGUAAAGGGCGCGUAGGCGGCCUACUAAGUCGGACGUGAAAUCCCUCGGCUCAACCGGGGAACUGCGUCCGAUACUGGUGGGCUCGAAUCCGGGAGAGGGAUGUGGAAUUCCAGGUGUAGCGGUGAAAUGCGUAGAUAUCUGGAGGAACACCGGUGGCGAAGGCGACAUCCUGGACCGGCAUUGACGCUGAGGCGCGAAAGCCAGGGGAGCAAACGGG
rnacentral:rRNA from 1 species